rnacentral:lncRNA from 1 species
GUUAACUGAGUUUUGUUGGUAUUGUUUCGGUGGGUGAUUGAGUUUUGUUGAAAUUGCUAUGUUAUUGAUUUUUUUUAAGUAUUGUUUCGGGCACACACUUCUUGAUCAAGUCUAAGGUUUGUCGAAUUAUUUGAUGUUUGCGAUCCAUCUUUUGUCAGAUUGAAGAACGCAAAACCUAUUAGUAAGUUCAUUUACGCUCUGAUUGGAUUGAAGAACGCAAUAAGUAUAUUCAUUUACUCUUCUGUUGGAUUCUUCUGUUGGAUUGAAGAACGCAAGAAUGAUUAGUAAAUUCAUUUACACCAAUUCCGAAUGUGAUUCUUUAUGUGAUGAAGGUGAGUUUUGAAUCUUUUAAUCAAAUUCCUUUAUCCCUUUUCUGCUGGUGGCUGGGUCUUGAGAUUUGUUUUGUCCAUGGAUGAAAUGAAAAACAUAAUAGUUUGGAAAGGCCAAUUGAUCCAAGUCUUCUUAUAGUCUUUAUCUGCAUCUUCAUCUUCGUAACGUUUCUAAACUUCUUCCUUUUAUUAUGAGCUUAGUUCGUUUUCUUGAAUUUUUGCCUGCACAGGAUAGUUCAUUUUCUUGAAUUUUUGGCUGUAGGACAUGAUGUGAAGUAUUAUGUUUUUGGCUGCAGGAUAGCUCUAUUUACUUCUUUUGGGUUGGGGUCUCACGAUUUGUGAUAGGAUAUGGAAGCAGUACUGUAUCUUAUUGUUAACAAUAUUUCUUAAUCUUAGUCCUUGCUGAUUUUGCUCUUUAUUAUUUAAUGUUUUUGGAUUUACCUAACUGUGAACUUGUUUCUCUACAAUAGUAUUUCAAAGUGUUUUUUGUAAUCUUCGUGCCCUUGGUUUUAAAUAUGUGGCUUCCCUUGAUUUUUGGAUUUAUGAAUUUACCUUAUUGUUUCUUUACUUUGUCAUGUCAUCUUUUUUAGAAGAUUAGUUUUCUCAAAUCACCAUGUAUCUUCUUGAGCUUUUACAUGAGCAUCAGGUUUUGGAAACAGUGGAUGGAGAUAGAGUUAAACUUUAGGUUUUAUUAUCUUUGCAUUCAUUAUGCUGAUAAAAAAAAUCUUUGCAUUCAUUAUUUUCUUUGUUAUUGGACUUACUCUGUAGUUUUAUUAUGUUUCCAUCCACUAUUUUUCUUAUGUGCUCGAUUUGGAAUGUCUACAAUCUCUUUUAUUGGUUGGAUAGUUGUAAGGUACCUGUAUUUGUCAUUGUCUAAGCAAGAGCUAUAAACCUCUCUUCAUGAGAGGCAUUAUAAACCUCUAUGUCAGCGAUUUUAUUUCCUCUUUCUAUUCCACACUCAGACAUUUCUCUCAGCAAUGAAGUCAUUUAAUCACAGCCUUUCGUUUCGUUUCCUUUCAUUUCCUUUGUUGUCAAAACAACCUUUGGGUCUUUCUUGCUUCUUGACUAUGGUAUUUAGUUUCACUAUGUUCUCAGGACGUGUUAUUUGGAAGUGAUGUGGUUAUUUAUUCGAGGAUCGAGUUCCAUUCCUUUAGACUUGCAUUUGUUUGUGUUCAUUGCUAUCAAACAACUUUCUUCUUUUUAAGUUUAUAGAGCCCUUUAUUUUUUAAUGAAACCCACUAAAUGUUAUUUAUUUAUUUUUCUUUCUUUUUCAUCAUUUCCUACUUAUUUGUGUUUCUAAUAGGCUUGGGAUGCGUUUUGGGUUUAUAAGAGUAUUAGAGGCACUUGAAUUUGGGGAGGAUUUGUCUUUUACUAUGUGGUUGGUUGUUGAAGCAGUGGCUGUUUUGGGAAUUUUGGUGAUCUUGUACUCCUUACUGAAACGAGACCUCAUCUUAUUGAGUGCUAUAUUUCUCAAUUUUGAGACUCAUUUUAUUGAUUGCUAUAUUUCUCAAUUUUAAUCCCUUGUUGAUCUUGUAUUUUGGGACAGCUAACAUCUUUGCACACUGAAGAUUAAUUUACUCAAUGAUCGAGAAACAAAUUGUAUGUAUUUUAUAUUUAGUGUGCAGUAUAGUGCUAGAACUGUGUGUGAACAGCUCAUGUAACGUACAUGAUCUGGUGAUGUAUCUCUGAUUUUGGGAUCUGUAUUUUUUUCUAUUCAAUUUAUAUUGAGUGUUUAGCGGUUUUCAUGAUACGGUAGUUUUUUCUAUAUGAUAAGUACAUCCAGUUUUAAUUGGAUAUGAUGACAGAGAUCUAUCAUAUGUAACUGUUUAUCUGCUUGUGUUAGUUCCUUUUCAGCAGGAUCCCAGUUGAUGAUUAAAAAACAUAAAGUUCUUGUUUGAUUAUUGAAAUCUAUCCAAUUUAUCUGUUAGAUCUGUGAUUAUGUUGAUUCCUUUCUAGCACAUUAAAGGUUAAUAAUAAUACAAUGCUCAGUGAAGAUGUCUUCCUUUUAUUUGAAACACUUGCCAGGGGAUCUGUGAAGCUUUAGGUUUUGGUACCCUUACAUUUCUUAUAUCUUUAUUUGUGACUGACUAAACUUCUUGAGAAUGAGAAACAACAGUAUUAAAUAUUAAACAACAGUAUUAAAUUAAAAAGGUUUUUCUUACUACAAUUAGUUCUUUCUUCACCACUCCGAUAACUAAUUAAAUAUUUACUUUCAUUAGAAUGUAGAUUAUGUGAAUGAUAUAUUUUAAUGUUGGCUCAUAAAAUAUUUUUAUAGUAAUCAUUAAACAAAUGUUUGGUAUACACUCAUAUUUAUCAUACUUCCUUCAAGUAGAUCUUUAAUAAUUUUUUUUAUCUGAAUGGGUUACUGGAAUUAUUAAUUUUUUUAAAAAAAUAGAAUGAUUUUUCUUUUGUGAUUUUUAAUAGAAGCUUACAUCAGUUAUUAGGGGUCACUGAUAUGUUUUUUCACCCUAUAUUGUCUGGAAAUCUUUUCUAUGUUUUCUAAUUUGAACCAAAGGAUUCCUAAAUCUUUUCCUGAAAAACAUUAUUUUAUGUGCUUUCUUUAUUUAUUUAACCAGUCAUGAUAAAAAGCAAGCAAAGAGUGUAGUGAGCCUGUUUUAACUUUACAGUCAUGCAAUGUUUAUUAGUAGGUUCACAUUCAUAAAUACUUUGAUUUCAGGAAUUCACAAAAUUCAAUUACAAUUCCUAUUUCAGUAAGAUUUUUUUGGUCAAUAAGUUUUUUAACAUCUUUUGUCUUUUAGAAAUUUUUUAAACCAUUUUAUACAUACACUUUAUUAAAUAUAUAGUCCUACAGUGACACUAGUCCUGCUAAAUUAAAGAAAAUUCUAUUUUUGUGUGGAGGGUAAUCCUUAUUCUUAACUUCUUUUAAAAGGACGAAUGUAAAUUGCUGAUAUAUGACUUGUAUGCUUUCACAAUUGAUCUUUGUUUGGAACGAAAUUAUGAAACAACUUACCUUAACCUGCAAUUAAUUUAUAUUUGUUGUGUAACUAUUCACUCCAUAUCCUUCUUGAAGAUAUCUCUUUACUAAAAAUAGUAUAGUUGAUAUAGAGUUAAUUCAUAGUAAAGGUUAACCUUGAUCUCUUUCACCAUAUCAAUUUCAACAUGCAUCCUACCAUUUAAAUUUUCCAAUUUUAUUCUGAAAUUGGUAGGAUAGUGGCCUACCAUGGUGGUGACGGGUGACGAAGAAUUAGGGUUAGAUUCCGGAAAGGGAGCCUGAGAAACGGUACCACAUCCAAGAAAAGCAGCAGACACGCAAAUUGUCCAAUCAUGAUAUGGGGAGGUAGUGACAAUAAAUAACAAUAUCGGUUUCAUUGAGUUUGGUAAUUAGAAUUAGUACAAUCUAACACCCUUAACGAGGAUCGAUAUGAGGGCAAGUCUGGUGCUAGGAGCCACAGUAAUUCCUGCUUCAAUAGCGUAUAGUUAAGUUUUUGUAGUUAAAAAUCUCAUAGUUGGACCUUAUGUAUUUUUUUAAAUGUUUGAACAGUUGGUUUUGUCAUUGCAGGGAGGAGAUGGAUGGGUGGUUCUAGGUUUGGGAAACAUGGAUCAGGACCCUGUGGAAAUUUAGGUUUUAUUCUUUGCAUUUAUUAUUUUCUUUGCUGCUAUUAUUCAGGGAUAAACUUGUGGACUGAGAAUACUUACCUCUUCAUGAGAGGCACUAUAAACCUGUGUCAACGAUUUUAUUUUCUCUUUCUAUUCCACACUCAGAUAUUUUUCUCAGCAACGGAGUCAUUUAAUAACAGUGUUUCGUUUCGUUUCCUUUCAUUUCCUUUGUUGUCAAAACAACCUUUGUGUCUUUCUUACUUCUCGGCUAUGGUAUUUAGUUUCACUACGUUCUCAGGAUGUUUUAUUUGGAAGUGAUGUGGUUAUUUAUUUGUGGAUUGAGUUCCAUUCCUUUAGACUUGCAUUUGUUUGUGUUCAUUGCUAUCAAACAACUUUCUUCUUUUUAAGUUUAUAGAGCCCUUUAUUUUUUAAUGAAACCCACUAAAUGUUAUUUAUUUAUUUUUCUUUCUUUUUCAUCAUUUCCUACUUAUUUGUGUUUCUAAUAGGCUUGGGAUGCGUUUUGGGUUUAUAAGAGUAUUAGAGGCACUUGAAUUUGGGGAGGAUUUGUCUUUUACUAUGUGGUUGGUUGUUGAAUCAGUGGCUGUUUUGGGAAUUUUGGUGAUCUUGUACUCUUUACUGAUACGAGACCUCAUCUUAUUGAUUGCUAUAUUUCUCAAUUUUGAGACCUCAUUUUAUUGAUUGCUAUAUUUCUCAAUUUUAAUCCCAUACUGGUCUUGGAUUUUGGGACAGCUAAUAUCUUUGCACACUGAAGAUUAAUUUACUCGAUGAUCGAGAAACAAAUUGUAUGUAUUUUAUAUUUAUUGUGCAGUAUAGAGUUAGAACUGUGUGGGACAGCUCAUGUAACGAACAUGAUCUGGUGAUGUAUCUCUGAUUUUGGGAUCUGUAUUUUUUUCUAUUAAAUUUAUAGUUUAGCAGUUUUCAAGAUACGGUAGUUUUUAUAUGAUAAGUACAUCCAGUUUUAAUUGGAUACCCUUUAUUAGCAACAGUCCUUUUGGAAUAGGAUUUGUUUCGGCAUAAAUCUGAAAGUUCAACUUGAAACAGCAGCUCAUGAUAGUGUUUUCUCUCUCAACAAAACACUAACCCGACGCUUCAUGUGCAAGGAAUUUGAAGCGGCUAGGUGAGGCACUCAAGGGAUGUGUCUCGCCGGUCACGUGACCUGUUAUGUAAAAUGACUCUCGGCAACAGAUAUCUCAGCCCUUGCAUCAUCAAUGAAGACCGUAGCAAAAUGUGAUACUUAUGUGAAUUGCAAAAUUCCGUGAGCCAGCGAAAUGCGGAUUUGCUUAGCACUACCAUCUGCAUGAAGUUGAAAAUUAAACAAGAACUGCUCAAGAUAACCUAAUUUCUUAUGUGUUGAGCCGGAGUUAAUCACCAUACAUUAAUAUUUGAUUGUGAUUUGUUUGUCUGCAGCAGGGUUUUGUUUAGUUGUGUGAUGACCUGUGUCUUAUCGAGCCUUUUAUGAGCAACUAAGUCUCCACUGGUUUUUGAAUUCCUUAAGUUUAAAUAUAGUUCUUAAAUUUUUUAUGUCUAGGUGUUGAUUCGUUUGUGUUCUUUCCUUUUUAGCAUGUAAGACUGGUUGAGGAUUAAAAUCGCAAGUGUACACGAAAGACAUGCAACAGAUGUGAGGUAAGAUAUCUAAAUACCUGAAGGAGAUCCUUGAUACUUUAGACUGCGUUUUAUGUCUAGUUUCUUUCUUACUUCUCAGCUAUCGUAUUUAGUCUUGGGUUGUGUUAUUUGGAAGUGACGUGGUUAUUCAUUCGAGGAUUGAUUCCAUUCCCUUCUACUUGCAUUUGUUUGUGUUCAUUGCUAUCAAACAACUUUCUUACUUUUCCUACUUAUUUGUGUUUCUCAUAGGCUUGGGAUGCGUUCUGGGUUUAUAAGAGUAUUAGAGGCACUUGAAUUUGGGGAGAAUUUGACUUUUACUGUGGUUGGUUGUAAAAGCAGUGGCUGUCUUGUGAAUUUUGGAUAUGAUCUUAUACUCUUUACUGGUCUGAUCAUCUUAUUGAUUGCUAUAUUUCUCAAUUUUAAUCCCUUAAUGAUCUUCUUCAAUCUGAGAAGCUUGUUAAUUUGGUCUUAUAAUAUAAUUUUUCUGGACUUGAUCACCAAACAUAAAGGUUGCAUUGCCAACCUGUUUCUCUCCAUCAGUACUUGGAAUUGUUUCUUGUAACACCGUUUUGUAAUCUCUUAAGAUAGAUAUUAGUUUUCUUGAUUUAAUUCUCCAAGCUUUCUCUUGUCCUCUACAGGGAGAUAAUGGAUGUGUGUCAUAUGUUUGGGAAACAUGGAAAUCCUGAAACUUUAGAUUUUUUUUAUCUUUUGCAUUCAUUAUUUUUUUUUCUAAUUAUUCUUUGGAUAAUCUUGCAGAGUGGGAUUUCAUGCCUAAUUGUAACAGGCAAAAGAGUUUAAGCAGGAUUCCGGUUGAGGAUUAAAAAACAUAAAUUUGAAUAUAGUUCUUGUUUGAUUAAUGAAAUCUAUCAAAUCUAGCUGUUUGAUCUGUGAUUAUGUUGAUUCCUUUCCAGCACAUUAAAGGUUAAUAAUAAUACAAUGGUCAGUGAAGAUGUCUCCCUUUUAUUUGAAACUUUGUACAUUGAGCAUAUUUUUCGAGACUGAUAUGUGAGGUAGGAUGUUGAAACAGUAGCCAGGGAUCUGUGAAGCUUUAGGUUUUGUUACCCUAAUAUUUGUUAUGUCUUUAUUUGUGAAUGACUAAACUUCUUGUUUGGAUUCUAAGUUUUGGUUGGUUUCACUGCUAACCCUGUAGUGUGACUGGCAACAGGUUUAUAAAAUGUUAACUUCUCUUAAAUCAUUUCUUUCAGCUUUUGGGUCAUGUUUUUUUUUAAAUUCUUAGUGAUUUGAAUUUCUAACAACUUAUAUGAAGUACUGGAUCAAUAGUGAAAAAAAAGAUACGGAAAAAUAUCGUGGCCAUUAAUAGUUUGUGUUUGUUGUCCUGUUUCUCUGUUGUCAGUGAACUCUGCUUCUUUC